GGAAGGUCCGGGCGUUAUCCGGAUUUAUUGGGUUUAAAGGGAGCGUAGGCCGGAGAUUAAGCGUGUUGUGAAAUGUAGUGGCUCAACCUCUGCACUGCAGCGCGAACUGGUCUUCUUGAGUACGCACAACGUGGGCGGAAUUCGUGGUGUAGCGGUGAAAUGCUUAGAUAUCACGAAGAACUCCGAUUGCGAAGGCAGCUCACUGGAGCGCAACUGACGCUGAAGCUCGAAAGUGCGGGUAUCGAACAGGAUUAGAUACCCUGGUAGUCCGCACGGUAAACGAUGGAUGCCCGCUGUUGGUCUGAAUAGGUCAGCGGCCAAGCGAAAGCAUUAAGCAUCCCACCUGGGGAGU
rnacentral:rRNA from 1 species